GUGCUUAUUUCGGCAGCACGUACACUAAAAUUGGAAAAUACAGAGAAGAUUAGCAUGGCCCCUGUUUAAGGAUGAACUCCUAAGACUUACCAACAUUCGCACUUCUU